CUAGAGAUAGAAAGUUACUUCGGUACAUCGGUGACAGGUGGUGCAUGGUUGUCGUCAGCUCGUGUCGUGAGAUGUUGGGUUAAGUCCCGCAACGAGCGCAACCCCUAUUGUUAGUUGCCAUCAUUCAGUUGGGCACUUUAGAGAGACUGCCGGUGUUAAGCCGGAGGAAGGUGGGGAUGACGUCAAGUCCUCAUGGCCUUUAUGUCUAGGGCUACACACGUGCUACAAUGGGUGGUACAAAGAGCAGCUAACUCGCGAGAGUAUGCAAAUCUCAAAAAGCCAUCCUCAGUUCGGAUUGGAGUCUGCAACUCGACUCCAUGAAGUUGGAAUCGCUAGUAAUCGCGGAUCAGCAUGCCGCGGUCGAAUACGUUCCGGGCCUU
rnacentral:rRNA from 1 species